rnacentral:rRNA from 1 species
GACGAACGCUGGCGGCGUGCCUAAUACAUGCAAGUCGAACGCACGAAGUUGAAGAGCUUGCUCUUUAACCAAGUGAGUGGCGGACGGGUGAGUAACACGUGGGUAACCUGCCCAUUAGAGGGGGAUAACAUUCGGAAACGGAUGCUAAUACCGCAUAGUUUCAGGGAUCGCAUGAUUCUUGAAGGAAAGGUGGCUUCGGCUACCACUAAUGGAUGGACCCGCGGCGUAUUAGCUAGUUGGUGAGGUAAUGGCUCACCAAGGCAAUGAUACGUAGCCGACCUGAGAGGGUGAUCGGCCACACUGGGACUGAGACACGGCCCAGACUCCUACGGGAGGCAGCAGUAGGGAAUCUUCCGCAAUGGACGAAAGUCUGACGGAGCAACGCCGCGUGAGUGAAGAAGGUUUUCGGAUCGUAAAACUCUGUUGUUAAAGAAGAACAAGGAUGAGAGUAACUGCUCAUCCCCUGACGGUAUUUAACCAGAAAGCCACGGCUAACUACGUGCCAGCAGCCGCGGUAAUACGUAGGUGGCAAGCGUUGUCCGGAUUUAUUGGGCGUAAAGCGAGCGCAGGCGGUUCUUUAAGUCUGAUGUGAAAGCCCCCGGCUCAACCGGGGAGGGUCAUUGGAAACUGGAGAACUUGAGUGCAGAAGAGGAGAGUGGAAUUCCACGUGUAGCGGUGAAAUGCGUAGAUAUGUGGAGGAACACCAGUGGCGAAAGCGACUCUCUGGUCUGUAACUGACGCUGAGGCUCGAAAGCGUGGGGAGCAAACAGG